GACGAACGCUGGCGGCGUGCCUAAUACAUGCAAGUCGAACGAGAGCGACCGGUGCUUGCACUGGUCAAUCUAGUGGCGAACGGGUGAGUAACACGUGGGUAACCUGCCCAUCAGAGGGGGAUAACAUCCGGAAACGGAUGCUAAAACCGCAUAGGUCUUCGAGCCGCAUGGCUUGAAGAGGAAAAGAGGCGCAAGCUUCUGCUGAUGGAUGGACCCGCGGUGCAUUAGCUAGUUGGUGAGGUAACGGCUCACCAAGGCCGUGAUGCAUAGCCGACCUGAGAGGGUGAUCGGCCACAUUGGGACUGAGACACGGCCCAAACUCCUACGGGAGGCAGCAGUAGGGAAUCUUCCGCAAUGGACGCAAGCCUGACGGAGCAACGCCGCGUGAGUGAAGAAGGUUUUCGGACCGUAAAACUCUGUUGUUAGAGAAGAACAAGUGCUAGAGUAACUGUUAGCGCCUUGACGGUAUCUAACCAGAAAGCCACGGCUAACUACGUG
rnacentral:rRNA from 1 species